CCUACGGGAGGCAGCAGUGAGGAAUAUUGGUCAAUGGACGAGAGUCUGAACCAGCCAAGUAGCGUGAAGGAUGACUGCCCUAUGGGUUGUAAACUUCUUUUAUAUGGGAAUAAAAUGUUCCACGUGUGGGAUUUUGUAUGUACCAUAUGAAUAAGGAUCGGCUAACUCCGUGCCAGCAGCCGCGGUAAUACGGAGGAUUCGAGCGUUCUCCGGAUUUAUUGGGUUUAAAGGGAGCGUAGGGGGAUUGUUAAGUCAGUGGUGAAAGUUUGCGGCUCAACCGUAAAAUUGCAGUUGAAACUGGCAGUCUUGAGGACAGUAGAGGUGGGCGGAAUGCGUGGUGUAGCGGUGAAAUGCUGAGAUAGCACGAAGAACUCCGAUUGCGAAGGCAGCUUACUGGACUGCAACUGACACUGAGGCUCGAAAGUGUGGGUAUCAAACAGGAUUAGAUACCCCGGUAGUC
rnacentral:rRNA from 1 species